CUAACCACCUUGUGCCGAGUCGUUCCCCCAAAACCAUCAACGUCGAUUCGCCUUCUCCUCCUACUACUCCCAAUCCUUCCUCCCUCACUCUCUUGCGACGCCGACCAAGCUCCUGCUUCCCCAAGCGUCGGCGACAGUUUUCCACCGCCGAUUUCAUCCUCCCUGGGUUCGCGAUACCGCCGACCGCCUCCUCUGUGCCGGCCACCAGGUCCGACCUAGCGCUAACCCUUCUUCUUAGCCCUAGCGCCGACGGCCACGGUCCGAUCUCUCUCCGGCGGCCACUGCUUUGCAUCUCUCAGCCCUAGCACCGCUACCCUCUCUGGCCACUGUUUUGUUUUUUCCCGACAGCCGCUUCUCCCCGACGGUGCCGCAAACCGUAGGCACCUUCUCUGUUGUCUUCGCUGUUGAGAUUGGGAACACACUGACGCCAUUCCUCCUCAGCCCUAAAUCUCCCGUCGACGCCUCCUUUUCGGCGACACCUGAGCAUUGCCUCCGUCCUUGUGCCCUAGCGGUGAUUGAAGAGGUAAGGGAGACUAUUUUGUUGCUGGAUUGUAGUGGUGAAUGGAUUUCUAGGUUGAUUUAUGAGUUUCUUUUUAUCCGGGCAAUGAGGAGGGUUUUCCAGCAGCCACCCAUUUUCCAGCAGCCACCCAUUUUUCGGCAGCCACCUUCUAGCGGUGAAUAGCCCUAUUGAGCAGCAACUCUUUGAUUCCAGCAGCGUGAACAACUGUGAAUUGAGCCUUUGUAGCUUGGCCAGCAUUGUUCACUGGCGAUCCAUAGCACCGGUCAUUCUGUUUUGGGCAGGGAAACCCUUUGACCGUUAGCCAUCAGCGACCAUCCUGGAUUUUGGGACUUUGAUUCGAGACGAGCAUCUCGAUGUUGGAUUUGACUGGAUUGGACCUGCUAUUU